rnacentral:rRNA from 1 species
AUUGAACGCUGGCGGCAUGCUUUACACAUGCAAGUCGAACGGUAACAGGCCGCAAGGUGCUGACGAGUGGCGAACGGGUGAGUAAUGCAUCGGAACGUGCCCAGUCGUGGGGGAUAACUACUCGAAAGAGUAGCUAAUACCGCAUACGAUCUAUGGAUGAAAGCGGGGGACCGUAAGGCCUCGCGCGAUUGGAGCGGCCGAUGUCAGAUUAGGUAGUUGGUGGGGUAAAGGCUCACCAAGCCAACGAUCUGUAGCUGGUCUGAGAGGACAACCAGCCACACUGGGACUGAGACACGGCCCAGACUCCUACGGGAGGCAGCAGUGGGGAAUUUUGGACAAUGGGCGCAAGCCUGAUCCAGCAAUGCCGCGUGCAGGAAGAAGGCCUUCGGGUUGUAAACUGCUCUUGUACGGAACGAAACGGCUCUGGUUAAUACCCGGGGCUAAUGACGGUACCGUAAGAAUAAGCACCGGCUAACUACGUG